rnacentral:rRNA from 1 species
GAUGAACGCUGGCGGCGUGCCUAAUACAUGCAAGUCGAGCGAACGGACGAGAAGCUUGCUUCUCUGAUGUUAGCGGCGGACGUGUGAGUAACACGUGGAUAACCUACCUAUAAGACUGGGAUAACUUCGGGAAACCGUAGCUAAUACCGGAUAAUAUUUUGAACCGCAUGGUUCAAAAGUGAAAGACGGUCUUGCUGCCACUUAUAGAUGGAUCCGCGCUGCAUUAGCUAGUUGGUAAGGUAACGGCUUACCAAGGCAACGAUGCAUAGCCGACCUGAGAGGGUGAUCGGCCACACUGGAACUGAGACACGGUCCAGACUCCUACGGGAGGCAGCAGUAGGGAAUCUUCCGCAAUGGGCGAAAGCCUGACGGAGCAACGCCGCGUGAGUGAUGAAGGUCUUCGGAUCGUAAAACUCUGUUAUUAGGGAAGAACAUAUGUGUAAGUAACUGUGCACAUCUUGACGGUACCUAAUCAGAAAGCCACGGCUAACUACGUG